rnacentral:rRNA from 2 species
UGGGGAAUAUUGGGCAAUGGGCGCAAGCCUGACCCAGCAACGCCGCGUGAGGGAAGAAGGUUUUCGGAUUGUAAACCUCUGUCGCAGAAGACGAAGGAAGUGACGGUAUUCUGUGAGGAAGCCCCGGCUAACUACGUGCCAGCAGCCGCGGUAAUACGUAGGGGGCGAGCGUUGUCCGGAAUUACUGGGCGUAAAGGGAGCGUAGGCGGUCUGAUAAGUUGGAUGUGAAAUACCCGGGCUUAACUUGGGGGGUGCAUCCAAUACUGUUGGACUAGAGUACAGGAGAGGAAAGCGGAAUUCCUAGUGUAGCGGUGAAAUGCAUAGAUAUUAGGAGGAACAUCGGUGGCGAAGGCGGCUUUCUGGACUGCAACUGACGCUGAGGCUCGAAAGCGUGGGGAGCAAACA